rnacentral:rRNA from 1 species
AUGGAGGCCGACAGCGCAAGAAGAAGGAGGGUGGCCAUGCGGUGCCGCUAUGUGAAGAUGGUGGUGCGGAGCUGCCACAAGAAGAGUCGGUGUGAUUCCGACGACGGUGGUGUCAUGCCAUCGUCAUCAUGGAAAGUUGGUGUUAAGCCAGCAAAAAAAAGUUGUGGUGCAAUGCCGCUUGACGAAGACGGCAUCGUGAUCGGCGUUGCGACAACGUCCUCCACGUCAAGAGGUGGCCGCCGCAUGCGGCAAGAGGACAUGGUGAUGGACGCCGGCGCUGCGAUGGCGUCGGUCCACGACAAAUUGUGCAGCGCCACGAUGGCGUCGUCAAGUGGCAGCGGGUGA